rnacentral:RNase_P_RNA from 1 species
UUCGUGAGAGGAACUUCCGGACUCCAUAGGGUAGCGCGCCACUCGAAAGGGUGGAGCGGGUAAGGUAAAACUUACUCAGAUGGAAAGUGCCACAGAAAACAAACCGCCUUCGGGCAAGGGUGAAAAGGUGCGGUAAGAGCGCACCGCGCACAAAGCAAUGCGUGCGGCUAGGCAAACCCCGCGCGGAGCAAGGCCAAGCCGGUUCAUAGGUGUCCCGCCUUCGUAACCAAGUAGGCCGCUUAGAGUAAUGGUUCUCACGGGCGCAAGUCCGACAGAAUCUGGGGUAUGGACCG